AAAAAACAAAAAAAAAAAAAAAAAAACAAAUAAUUUAUUAUCAAUAUAUAUAUAUAUAUUACAAAGUAUAUUUACUAUUAAGCACCGGUAUGUUGUCGUUACAAUGUCGGUCGAUUAUUAUUAUAAGUUAGACAAACAAUAUGCAUUACAAUAUAUUGUUCCCGGCAGUCGUUGUGUGCGCCACGUAGUGUUAUAAUUGUAAUAACGGUAAUGAUGAUAAUAAUAAUUUCAACGCGGUUAUUAUUAUUUUAUUGUAAUAAUAUUGUCGAGUUUAAACUAAUCUCAUCGUGAACGUCCAUUAUAUUAAAUAAUCGACUGCGGUCCGCGCGUUAUUAUAGGAAAACAAAAAAAAAAAUAAAAAAAUAAAAAAAAAAAACAUAAAAAAAUUCGAGUGUAAGUCUAGCGUAAGUGUACGGUAUAAUGAUAAUUUUACAGGCGACGCGGGUAUGACGGGACGGCCGAAUAACGUGUAUAUAACUAUUGUUAUUAUUAUUAUUAUUAUUUUUUUUUUUUUUAAAACGUUCUCAAUAUUACCGCGGCCUAAUUGUAAACGCGAUAAAUAAUCAAUAAAAAAAGUUAAAACAUUUUAAAAAAUCACAAAACAACCCGUACGAAAAAACCGAAAUUCCGAUAUGUCACAAAUAAUAUUAGCGGUCGUCGGUUAUAUUGUCGACUGGCGCGCAGUUCGGAAUCGAACGCGCGUUAAAAAUCUUACCCGGACAGAUACAAACAAAUCGUAGGGCCGUGGAUUUCGGUAGACACGCGACUGCGGGGUUUCUCGAGUCGGCGGUUUUCGCAGAUUGCGUUCUAAAGAAUGCCGUGCGACACGCCGUCAUGCGGCAGAGUACAAUAUUUUUUAUAAACACGGUUCUCGCGUUCAAUCGAUACUCGGUUGCGAACUGACGAAUACGAGAUUUCUGGUAUGGACUGACCCGGGGCGAAAUAACGGGCCCGAGGAGAAGGGAAGUGGGCUAUCAUUUUGGAAAUACGUAUGAAACACGGAAAUCAAGCUCAGCCGUUAUACCGGGGGAGCUUUGGGCAUAUUCGACAGCGAACGGGAUAGGCCAACCCCCCUUCUCCUCCAUCGGAGAGACGAUCACUCGUGCAGAUACCGCGGUACGUCACCUACAGGCCCUGUCCUUAUCGGCGGCCACCGGACGAAACUGGACGACACUGUUGUUUCUUUUCGAUUCCGUCGCCGGUCGCGGUGGAGCAACGGAGUUUUGUCACCAACGUGUAACCGCAAUCGACCGAUUGCGAAAAACGCCCGCGACCACCCGCGCCCGAAAUCGAAUGUUUACGACGGUCUGCCGAUGACACGUACCCCUGUAAUAGUUAUAGUUGCCCGCGCCGUGAUUAGGUCAGGUACCCGUGAUAACGUGUCUGCCGGAUCGAGUCCGCGAGCCGGGCGCGUCGCGAGGAUUAUCGCAAUUUCACUAAAGAUAUGGCGCGCGAUAUUAAACGCACGGGAUAAAUGCACGGACGGGACGCGACGACGUCCGUUUUCGGCACUGAAUUUCGGUAAAACACGAAAACCGACCGCCCGACAAUAGACUGUGCGACAACGGGCCCGUCCGUUUCUCCGAUAUCCUCGGCCAUAAAUCGCCGGCGCAUUUAAUAUUUCGCGUCACUGUCGGCGCCAGCAGCCUGUAGAAACCGUCGGCCGAUCCGGAGGGGGGGUGGGGAUUCAAUCCGAUUCGGCGUUAUUGUUUUUUAUUUCUUUUCUAAGAUAAGACGAGAUGAUCGAGGUAAAACAACAGCGUUAAAAAUUUUAAGCGACGGACAACGGUAUAAAUAUCUACGCCGGGACUGCGUGUGGUGGUGUCCUAACAAUAUCGCCGUAGAAAAAAAAAAAUAAUCCUCGCGAGUCGGAGCGUUUCGGCCGUAAUAACAACAGGACGACGGACGAGACAGACUGACGACCGGCUCGUGUCGCAGUGCGAAUGUCCGGAAAAACCGUACGGCGAAUCGCUUUCUCUCCGCGCUUCGAACCGGAGUAAAUUGUUCGCCUGCCCGCCGCGAUUUUCCGUUUCGGCAGAUCCGUAAAAAACCGCUACGUGCGAAAACGUUAACGACGGCGGGUUUUGCGUGUUGAACGCGGAGUGGACGGAUUGACUAUAACACGCGAAUGCAGAACAGUUCGCGUGCCUGCCGUGCGCGGGCCGAUAGAUUUCCAUGCGGAAUACGUUGGUAACGUUUAUAGCGCGACGGAAAUAUCGUUAGGUUCGCGUAAAUCACACGUAUUUUAUUAUUAUUAUUAUUAUUAUUUUUUUUUUUUUUUGCGCGCGCGUCGGUUUAUACUUGAAAUCGGUCAGAAUGUUGUUUUUUUUUUUUUUUUUCCAAUUUGAAACGUACGCGAUACGAUAUAGCGAAACAAUGACAUCCGAUUGGUGGACGCUGUCGAUUAUUAUUGUCGUCGCUAUUGUCCCGUAUCGCGCAUAAUGUCAAUCGUUAUAAAAAUCAUCAACUUAAACGAUAGGACCGAAAACGAAUCCUGUAAUAAUAAUACCAAUUUGCAAUUCACAAUCGUUAAACACAUAAUAUCUAUGUACCUGUAUAAAACCAUUAUCAUUAUCGUCAUCAAUAGUGUUGGUAAUGUAAAGACGAUUAUUUGUAGCGUUUUAUACCGAGAGAAAAAAAAAAUUACCGUACAAUAAACGUCACGCGAUAAUACUCGCGUGGAUAAUAUAUAAUAGUAUAUUUACUAUUUAUGUAUAUUUCUAUCAAAUAAUCAUCAACGAUGAUUACUAAGUAUAUUUCUAUACAAUAAUCAUCAAUGAUGAUUAUUAUUUUAUUAUUACUAUGAUGACGAUUCGUCAUAAUAAUGAUAUUAUGCUGAUAGCAGUUCAAUGAUUCCAUGGUAUGAAUAUAUAUGACUAUUCAUGUAUAUUUCUAUCAAAUAAUCAUCAACGAUGAUUAUUAUGUAUAUUUCUAUACAAUAAUCAUCAAUGAUGAUUAUUAUUUUAUUGUUAUUAUGAUGACGAUUCGUCAUAAUAAUGAUAUUAUGCUGAUAGCAGUUCAAUGAUUUUAUAGGAUGAUAAUAUUAUUAUAAUGAUAUAGCGUAUCGCCAUCCGCGAAUAGCUCAUUAUUAUUAAUUAAUUAAUUAUUAACUGUUAAAAUUAAGUCGUUUUUAAGUUAACAGUUUAUAAACUUAUUAUAAUACUUAUUUUAAGAGAGCACGGGAAAUGCCCGUCGAUACUUUUUAAAGAUUAUAACAGACGCGUUAAGGAGGAUGCAUUUCAAGCGCGGUCAGUAGGUAGAGGACGGGGAACGAAUCCACUCGCAUCCUCCCUCUCCUAUUACCGCAGCGAUGGUAGUGUUGUUAGGUAUUACAUUUAUAAGCGCGUUUUAAGUAUAAUGUAAGUAAACUAAUUUCGAUCGCGGUCAAACGGUGGGGGGCGGGAAGUGAUUGUAUUCCUCCUCCCACCCCCAUUAUUCAAACCCCGAUUCCGGGUGGACUUCCUUAUGUGUACUUAGAGAGCCCGUGUAUACAACACUAUUACAGACGUGUUUUGGACGUUGUAAAAAAUGUGUAUAGCGACCGAGUGUACGUUCAAUAUUUGUGUAGGUACAGGUAUUUUAUAAUAUUCUGUUUACCGGUUGACGACGAACAGCCAAAACGAGAGUUCGGGUACCGAAAAAUUUGAUAGCGUUUUCGCGAGUAAUCGAGGAAAAGCAAAUAUUACGGCCGAAAAAACCGAAUCGUAAUAUCAUUUCUUCUCGUUAUUUCUUUCGUACAACUACACUAUAAUAUGAUCAGUACUGCCGUUAAUUAUAGCACAUCGCCGAUAUGUAUACAUAUUAAAUAUUGUCAUAUACCUACUCCGAAACGUAUUAUUUCGUAUUUGUAGAGACAGGCGCAUUAUAUUAUUCGUGAAUGUUGAAAAAUGAUAAAUGGUUAUUUCCGGUUUCGAUGACGACGAACGACGUUUAAAGAAGCGCGCGACCGAUACGUUAAUAACAACGCCCGGCACGGUCGCGACGAAACCGUGUCAUCUGAAAAUUCCAACUCUGUUGUGCGACCGUGCAGUUCGGAAAUUACGACCCGGGAAACGAUUUUCUACAACAACAGUUUCGCUACUUUCCGUUUAAACUGAAACUUGUACAGACAUUGAACGUUAUUAGUAUAUUGCAGUAUACGCGCGGUUACAACGCCAGAACAACGUCUAAUAAGAGAGUGGACAACUGUUCUUGUCGGCCGUUUUGCAUACACGCGUUUGAGCGUUCCGAAUAAAACGAAAAAAAAAAAAACAUUCUUGUCCAGAAAUAUUCCAAAAUAGUUGAACGCAGGUACAUAGGCCGCACAUAUUGGCCUACAAACACCGGUCGACUCAGUGCCGAAUCUCGACAUCCGCAAUACUAUUGUAGUAAAUUGUUUGAAGAUCGAAAUACUUAUUUCGAAUAAACUCUUUAAUAAAGUGUUUCCUCCUAAGUUCGCCGUUUCGCGAUUGUACGGUAUAUACGGUUACUUACUACUAUUAUAGAGGUGACGAAUAUGCGUUCUUAAAAUUCCGCGGUGUUACACGCCAGACGUAUUUUACAUUAUUGAGUAUACUUGUCCGAGCAAAUCGCAAAGUGGCGUCGAGCCCGUUACGCGUAGCCAAAACAGAAAACGAUUCCCUCUAGAGAAAUGUUUUUAGAAUUCUCACGAAUCACGAUUCCCUAGUUUUUUUUUUUUUCUUCAAAAACUGUUUUAUCGAACUCGAAUACAAUACUAUACAACUCGAAACCGUGAACUACCGUCGCCCGCUCUCCGAUUUUUUACUAUACAUAGGCUCUCUACCUAAACCAUCAUAAUAUUGUUUACGUAUAAUUAUAAUUGAAUUUUAGCUGUCGUCGUUUAUAUUUACUCUAAUAAUAUUUCUGAAAAUUAUUUUUAUAAAUGGCAAAAUAUUAUAAUAUUAUUAUUACUUAAAUAAUUUAAUCCGCGUGUACAAAAUUAUUAUUAUAAAAAAUAAUAUAGGUACGCGCAUUAUGCGUAUAUGAUUAUAUUUAAGUACAUAAUUAUGUAUGCAGUUUAAGGCACAAAAAAAAAUAUAUUUAUACAUUAAAUUAUAUUAUACUAUGGGGCAAUUUCGAUUAGGGGAAAAAUAUUAACAAAACGAAUACUUUUUUACGAUAAUAUUAAUUAUAUUUUAGCGUAGAGGAUCGCCACGAGAUGAAUAAAAAAAAAAAAAAAAAAAAAAAAAAAAAAACAACCAACAAUAA